CCUUCUCCUCCUCACCGCUUUUUGUUCCCCUUCCCCUGCUCUCACGCGAGGCGAAAAGGGAAGCGACCAAACUCCCCGUCGACCGUCGUCCUCCGGCCGGCCGGCCCAUCGAUCCCUUUCAGCGCUGCGCCCCCUUUCCAUCGUAGAAUUGACCGCAGUCCUCAAUCCAUGUUCUCGCCUCUGGCAUGCGCUCUGUAUCUCACCUAUACGAGGUGUGAUUUCUCUCCUUCACAUCAUCGUGAUGCCUCCUUCCCGAUCUGCCGAUAUGGUGCUCCGAUCUAGCCGCCGUCAUGCUCUAUGGCCUGCUGAAGAUUGAUCUAUGAAGAAUCCGUUUCUGCAUAUGAAGGGGCUCUCCACUUCAUAUUGGUUAUGCGGCCGCACGGCAGCGGUCGUCUAUCUCGAAGCCAACUUCGCUCAGCCAUCCGUCUGUCACACCAGUCUCUCGCUGAUCUGCUCCCAAGAACAGUUUCUCCUGUUUGAAGUCAGACAAUAUGCUGUUUUUGAUCGAAAAAGUCCAAAACCGGAUUCAAGAACAAAGCCAUUGAAGUUCAGGAUAGAAUUAUGUUGGAGGACUUGGUGUGAUAGCUGACGUGACCAGAUUCUGGAUCUUCAGCUAUGUGGUGAGACAGUGGGUACAAUGACAAACUCAACGCAAGACCGUGCUGGUGGGACACCACUAACGUGACACUAAGUGCAAGCUUAAGAGGAAAUAUAUGAUUCACAUUACUCCAUUCUGCAAGGAAACAAAAACUUAACUGGACUGGAAUAUACUUCACGAACGUCUUUGCGUUUGAUUAGGAUGGCACAUUCACUAUGUAAACGAUUGCUAAAUUAUAUUUCAGUCUCAUUUUAAGGAUAUUUGUGAUGAGAUCUAUGAUAUUUUAUGAAUCUACAUCAUAUACUUGUGGUUUGAAUAAUAUAAUUGAAUGGAUGUACUAUUUUUUUUGUUGCAAUAA